AUACGUAGGGGGCGAGCGUUGUCCGGAAUGAUUGGGCGUAAAGGGCGCGUAGGCGGCCCGGUAAGUCUGGAGUGAAAGUCCUGCUUUUAAGGUGGGAAUUGCUUUGGAUACUGUCGGGCUUGAGUGCAGGAGAGGUAAGUGGAAUUCCCAGUGUAGCGGUGAAAUGCGUAGAGAUUGGGAGGAACACCAGUGGCGAAGGCGACUUACUGGGCUGUAACUGACGCUGAGGCGCGAAAGUGUGGGGAGCAAACAGGAUUAGAUACCCUGGUAGUCCACACUGUAAACGAUGAAUGCUAGGUGUAGGGGGUAUCGACCCCUUCUGUGCCGCAGUUAACACAAUAAGCAUUCCGCCUGGGGAGUACGGCCGCAAGGUUGAAACUCAAAGGAAUUGACGGGG
rnacentral:rRNA from 1 species